ACGCUCAGGCUGACCAGCGUGGGGAGCAAACGGGAAUAGAUACCCUGGUAGUCCUAACCAUAAACGAGUCAACUGGUUGAGUGUCGACACUCACUCAGCAACGAAGUUACGGCGAUAAGUUGAACACUUGUGGAGUUCGACGGCAAGGCAGAAACUUAAAGGAAUUGUCAGGGACCCGCACUAGCAGUGAAUUAUGUGAUAUAAUACAAUGCUAAAGGAAGUGCCCUACCCACCUUUGACAUGUAAGGAAUCCUUUAGAGAUAGACGAGCGCUCGAAUGGGAGCCGUAACUCAUGUGCUGCAUGGGUGUCGUCAGCUCGAGUCGUGAGAAGGGAGGUUAAGUCGUGCAACGAGCGCAUCCCUUGCCGUUAGUUGCUACGAAAGGGCACUAUGAGCAUCAUGUCGGUGACAAACCGGAAGAGUCUAGGGGUGAGGUCAAGUCCUCAUGACCCUUAAAUUUGGGGACACACGCAUCAUCCAAUGCCUCGGACAGAGGGUUGCCAACCAGCGAGGAGGACAUUGUCCCAUAAGCCCGUCGUAGUCCGGAUCGCAGUGUGCAAGUAGGUGAGUGAAGUCGGAAUCGAUAGAAUUCGCAGAUCAGAAUAUCCCAGCGAAUACGUUCCCCGGUGGUCUUCACGGGGCCGGU
rnacentral:rRNA from 1 species